rnacentral:rRNA from 1 species
ACGCAAGUGUGAAACUUGAAGGAAUUGACGGAAGGGCACCACAAGAACGCGUGGAGCAUGUGGCUUAAUUUGACUCAACGCGGGAAAUCUUACCGGGUCCGGACACACUGAGGAUUGACAGGCAAUAUUAGCAAUUCAUUCGGUCUCUCGGGGCUGUUUUGUGUUGUUAUGUUAAAUAUGCUAGUCCUUUCAUGAUUAUGUGAUAG